rnacentral:rRNA from 1 species
GACGAACGCUGGCGGCGUGCUUAACACAUGCAAGUCGAACGGGUCUGCCCUGUUUUUUGCGGGGUGGGUCAGUGGCGAACGGGUGAGUAACACGUGAGUAACCUGCCCCUCACUUCUGGAUAACCGCUUGAAAGGGUGGCUAAUACGGGGUGUUCUGGCUGUGCCGCAUGGUGUGGCUGGGAAAGAUUCACUUUUGUGGUGUUUUGGUGGGGGAUGGGCUCGCGGCCUAUCAGCUUGUUGGUGGGGUGAUGGCCUGCCAAGGCUUUGACGGGUAGCCGGCAUGAGAGGGUGGGCGGUCACACUGGGAAUGAGAGACGGCCCAGACUCCUGCGGGAGGCAGCAGUGGGGGGUAUUGCACAGUGGGCGGAAGGAUGAUGCAGCGACGUGGCGGGAGGGAUGGAGGCCUUAGGGUUGUGAACCUCUUUCGCCGGUGAAGAAGGUCCUGCUCUUUGUGGUGGGGUUGACGGUAGCCGGGUUAUGAAGCGCCGGCUAACUACGUG